AGAGGUUAGAAAUCUUUUAUUAGCUGAUUACUGUUUUAUGUUAAUACAGUUAGUCUAGGUCUAGGAAGCUGUGAGUUUUACUAAACCCUCCAUCUCCUCCUGUAGCACACUGCAUUUCAGAAGACAGUGCAGCUGGGAAUGGGACACCCAGAGAGAGCUGGAACCUCCAUCUAUCCAGUGAGGCUUUCCAGACCAGAGCCAGGUUUGAUCUACAUUUGGCAAUAUCCCUGUGCUGAGGAAGGUGGAUCUAGAUGGCAGCUACAGAUUUCAUCCAGUCUCUGCAUCCUCCUUUCAGCUCCCCAGCUCCUAACUGGGAAUAGCUGCCAGCACUGCUCUCAGGAAAAGGCAGUGGCUGUUUACCUGCCCUGGCCAGCCAGUCCUGGGAGGACAGGAGAACAAUUAAAUGGUUUACCUUACUCACAAUAA
rnacentral:lncRNA from 1 species